rnacentral:rRNA from 1 species
ACGGGAGGCAGCAGUGGGGAAUAUUGCACAAUGGGGGAAACUCUGAUGCAGCGACGCCGCGUGAGUGAAGAAGUAUUUCGGUAUGUAAAGCUCUAUCAGCAGGGAAGAAAAUGACGGUACCUGACUAAGAAGCCCCGGCUAACUACGUGCCAGCAGCCGCGGUAAUACGUAGGGGGCAAGCGUUAUCCGGAUUUACUGGGUGUAAAGGGAGCGUAGACGGUAAUGCAAGUCAGAAGUGAAAGCCCAGGGCUCAACCUUGGGACUGCUUUUGAAACUGUAAUACUAGAGUGCAGGAGAGGUAAGUGGAAUUCCUAGUGUAGCGGUGAAAUGCGUAGAUAUUAGGAGGAACACCAGUGGCGAAGGCGGCUUACUGGACUGUAACUGACGUUGAGGCUCGAAAGCGUGGGGAGCAAACAGGAUUAGAUACCCUGGUA